AUGCCCAGUGAUUAUAAAAAGACGCGUUAUUCUGAGGAAUCCAACCUGCUGCUAGUCUCUCUUUUUACUGUUGUCUCAUUCUUUAAUCUCCUCCAUCUUUUCUAUUCCUUCUUCACUUCGUCUCUUUUGUUCUAACUGGCAGCAGGUCCGCUGACUGCGAUUAUGAGAUAUGAGGGCAU
ensembl:snoRNA